GUAAAAUUCAUGUGUUUCCAAGAGCACAAUAUUCCUAUGAAUCAAGCCCCCCCAUAAUCAACAAAUCAUUGAUCGUCACAACUGCAUCUACGGUUAGUAAUUGGAGAAAAGCAUAACCUUUCAUGAUCACAACAUCAUUUGAUUACUUCUAUAGCACAACCAUAUUUUGAACAACAUGUUUGUCAGCUUUGUUUAAGGUGUCAGCAUUAGCGAUGGCUUUAAGUCAUGGUAGUAUAAGCUCGACAGCAACAUUAACAUCCAUUUCUUCAAAAACCCAAUUUGUUAUUGCUCCGAAAACCAACCCUUUUGUCUUAGAUUCUUGCUGUUUUAAACUGCACAAGAGAAGCUCCUUUUCUGUUCGAUCUAUGGGUUCUUCUGCUUCUUCUUCUCAGAAACCUGACUACAUUCAAGAGUGCCAGCGAGCUGAUUUUGACAGAGCAUAUCAACUAUCAGAGUGAUUUUGUUAUGAGCUAAAACAGAGUUGCUGUGGAGUUCCUCCCCCCUCCAAAUACUCAUUGAUUUCACCAAGCUCUGAAUGAUUUAUUUGAAUCCACUACAAGCGAUCAGGUUGAUGCAGUAUCAACUCAGUUGAUGAAAAGCUUUGUGAUUUUAGCUCAUUAUAUGCCUGUCCCUUUCAUGCAGUGAGAAAUCUUUUGAGAGUAGUUUUUAUUGUUAAGCCCUCAAGAUCAGAAAUUGGAGCUACAGGUUGAAGCACUUUUAUCAUUGGAUCGACUGCAUACAGAAAUCUACAUAUAUGUAAUGUGUGCACGUGCAAACACACUCAUAUUUAUGUGUUUCUGUUGUUCUUGUGAAGUUGCAUCUAUGAGUUGUAUAUUUAAACUUUGGUUUCUCCAUUAAGGAGCACCAUUUUCAGCUGCAGACAGAUUAGUUCCAGUCUUCAUGGACUACUUGAGACCAUCUCAAAGAAUGACGAUUGGAAGGUGGAACGUUGAACUAAUAGAUAUCAUCAUCCUUCAUUUAUGGUGGAGCUGAGAAACUGUGGAAUCUGCAGAUGAUUAGUGGCUUGAGCACCAUUAGCAAAAAUCAGAA